AGUGAACGCUGGCGGUAGGCCUAACACAUGCAAGUCGAACGGCAGCACAGUAAGAGCUUGCUCUUACGGGUGGCGAGUGGCGGACGGGUGAGGAAUACAUCGGAAUCUACUUUUUCGUGGGGGAUAACGUAGGGAAACUUACGCUAAUACCGCAUACGACCUACGGGUGAAAGCAGGGGAUCUUCGGACCUUGCGCGAUUGAAUGAGCCGAUGUCGGAUUAGCUAGUUGGCGGGGUAAAGGCCCACCAAGGCGACGAUCCGUAGCUGGUCUGAGAGGAUGAUCCGCCACACUGGAACUGAGACACGGUCCAGACUCCUACGGGAGGCCGCAGUGGGGAAUAUUGGACGAUGGGCGCAAGCCUGAUCCUGCCAUACCGCGUGGGUGAAGAAGGCCUUCGGGUUGUAAAGCCCUUUUGUUGGGAAAGAAAAGCAGCAGGUUAAUACCCCGCUGUUCUGACGGUACCCAAAGAAUAAGCACCGGCUAACUUCGUG
rnacentral:rRNA from 1 species